rnacentral:rRNA from 1 species
GAAACCAACAGGGAUUGCCCUAGUAACGGCGAGUGAAGCGGCAACAGCUCAAAUUUGAAAUCUGGCGCAAGCCCGAGUUGUAAUUUGUAGAGGAUGUUUCUGGCGACGCGCCUUCCGAGUUCCCUGGAACGGGACGCCAUAGAGGGUGAGAGCCCCGUACGGUUGGAUGCCUAGCCUCUGUGAAACUCCUUCGACGAGUCGAGUAGUUUGGGAAUGCUGCUCUAAAUGGGAGGUAUACGUCUUCUAAAGCUAAAUACCGGCCAGAGACCGAUAGCGCACAAGUAGAGUGAUCGAAAGAUGAAAAGCACUUUGAAAAGAGGGUUAAAAAGUACGUGAAAUUGUUGAAAGGGAAGCGUUCAUGACCAGACUUGGGCAGGUUGAUCAUCCGUGGUUCUCCGCGGUGCACUCUGCCUGCCCAGGCCAGCAUCAGUUCGCUCCGGGGGAUAAAGGCUCUGGGAAUGUGGCUCCUUCGGGAGUGUUAUAGCCCACUGCGUAAUACCCUGGGGUGGACUGAGGUUCGCGCUCUGCAAGGAUGCUGGCGUAAUGGUCAUCAACGACCCGUCUUGAAACACGGACCAAGGAGUCGUCUUCGUAUGCGAGUGUUCGGGUGUCAAACCCCUACGCGUAAUGAAAGUGAACGUAGGAGAGAGCUUCGGCGCAUCUCCGACCGAUCCUGAUGUUCUCGGAUGGAUUUGAGUAAGAGCAUACGGGGCCGGACCCGAAAGAAGGUGAACUAUGCCUGUAUAGGGUGAAGCCAGAGGAAACUCUGGUGGAGGCUCGCAGCGGUUCUGACGUGCAAAUCGAUCGUCAAAUAUGGGCAUGGGGGCGAAAGACUAAUCGA